CGCUCGCUCCAUCCAGAGCUAUAGCUUGCCGCAUGUUUUAAACUAACUGACGAAUUGACUGCUUGAUGACGUGACUUCGAGAUUUCAAAUAAUCUGUUAGACUGCGACACCGAGGCAACUAUGUGAAAGCACAAAAAACAUCGCCAGGAAGGCAGAGGACACGUCAAACCUGGUACCGGAAGAUGAUGCUGUGUAGAAGCGAAAGAGACGUCUUCCCCAGAGAUUUAGCAAAUCUUCAAGUGAUUCCGGAAGUGACGCUGAUCUUGAAUCGGUUCGGACCCAAGAAAACAACAUGUACGCGGAGGAACGACUAAGGCUGUGGCAGCGGAGAUACCAAUGCCGAAACUGAAUGCAAAGUCCAAGUCCACAUCGCAUUUUUCAGUUCCCACCCACAACUCCAGCAAGGGCUCGGGCUUCGGAAAGCAAUUUUCAAGUGCAGGUACUGUGUACGCUGCAGAGGCUGGAGGAAGGGCAGCAGCAGCUGACGCAGUUGGUACAAAAACUGCUUUUGUCCAAACCGGGAGCGGCCGUUGAAUUUUGUGGAAGACCUGAGGGAGCCGUUUACCGAACCAGUGAACACCAAAUUUUCAUUCAAGGUAGAUUAAGAUACCUUUAUUCAGGGGCAAUGCAAAAACCCUAAAACUCAUAUUGAAACCAAAUUUGACCAUUUCAGCUAAUAAUGGAGAAACUUUAUCAGCGACAUAACAGUUUUGUUGGUGCAUCUUUUUGGAUUGAAUUGCCAACAUCUUGUUGAGAAUGCAAGACAAAGUUGUAGAGGUCUGUAAAUUUACCACUUUUUGUAAGGAUGCUGAAACCAAUAUGUGUGCUGCCAAACUCUCGACACUGUUUAUUUAUAACCUUGUCUUCUAUAUUCAUAGACCCUUAAACUUGAGUAUUCAUAUUUGCCUGUUAAUAAUUCAUAUCAACUCAUUUCUAUCAGUUUAUUGUAAAUAGCUUUUUGUAGAUUGUUCAUGUGUUUUGUGUUGAUUUUAUAUUUGAAGUAAGAUGCAAGGUCCAAUGAAAGGCUUCUGGGAAAUCUUGACCUGCCCACUAAAUCUUUGGUCGAUCAAAAGGACAAUUUUUUACACGGAUUUAAAGGGGAAAUCUACCCUAGAAAUUUCACUGCUUCAAUCAAACGAGACAAAUUUGAACAAAAUUUAAAAUAAGAAAUGGGCAAACUCGGUAAGGAAAACAAAUUAAGGAAACUACUCUUUUUUACAUUUUCUAGUAAAUUACUCUCGGGCUAUUCAAUUUGACAAUGCUGAUGACAUCUUGAGUAGCUCUAAAUUCACUUUGUACACAAAAUUUCACAUUUUCUAACCCCCAUAGUCAAAGCAUGUUGUGUAAAAAGCUAUUUGUCAUUAGUAAUCUGAACAUACUCCGAUCAAAAGCUGUGGAAAUGUGUAACUUUAAGGAAAAUUUAGAAAAUAUGAAAUUUUGUGUACAAAGUUGAUGGAUAGCUACUCACAGUUGAUGUCAUCAGUGUUGCCAAUUUGUAGAGCUGAAACGAGUGUAGUUUCCAUAUUUUGUUUCUCCGUACUUUCACUCGAAAUGUGACUUCUUAAAAUAGUCACAUUUUUAUCACUUGUAGAAGUUGAUGAGAAAGUAAAUACAUGUACUCUUUUGAAUAGUUAUAAUUUGCACCGGAUGAUGAAGCUAAUCCUGGGUGGAGGCACAUAGCUAAAUCGGUUAUUCACAUGUAUUUAAUGAUAAUUUCUGACAUUUUGUUAAAAGGUUCUGGUGAAUUUAUUCACAUUGAUAUAGUACACAAAGAAAUUCUAUGCACUAUGUGGUUUUACCAAAGAUCAAGACUUAUUAUAGAAAGAUUUCUUAAUCAUUUGCUGGGGCAUCUUUUUGGCAUGAAUUGCCAGGUUCUGUAAAUAACUCAAAUUGCUUUUAUAAAGUGUGUUACCAAAGUUGCUAUAUGUGUGCUGCCAAAUUCUUGACACUAUUCAUUUUAUCUCGCCUUGUAUAUUUAGACCCGUGAAUAUAUGAGUAUUCAUAUUUGCCAGUUAAUGAGGCAUAUCUUCAACUCAUCUAUCAUUUUCUUAUGUUUUAUUUGUAGAUUGUUCAUGUGUUGACACUAUUAAUUUAUAUCUUGCCUUGUAUAUUCAUAGAGACAUAGACCCGUAAAUAUAUGAGUAUUCAUAUUUGCCAGUUAAUGACAUAUCUUCAACUCAUCUAUCAGAUUAUUGUGUAUUAUUUGUAGAUUGUUCAUGUGUUAUGUAUCUUUAGUUUUAAAGGGAUAGUUUAGUAUUGGUCAAACUUAACUUUAAAAACAAAACCUGCACCAUCACGGUGCAAAGUAAUAAUCACAAACGGCCAAGUA